UACGUAGGGUGCAAGCGUUACUCGGAAUUACUGGGCGUAAAGCGUGCGUAGGUGGUGAGUUAAGUCUGAUGUGAAAUCCCCGGGCUCAACCUGGGAAUGGCAUUGGAUACUGGCUCGCUCGAGUGCGGUAGAGGGUGGUGGAAUUCCCGGUGUAGCAGUGAAAUGCGUAGAGAUUAGGAAGAACACCAGUGGCGAAGGCGACUUACUGGACUGUAACUGACGCUGAGGCAUGAAAGCGUGGGGAGCAAACAGG
rnacentral:rRNA from 1 species